rnacentral:tRNA from 1 species
GCCCUAAUAGCUUAAUCUUAAAGCAUUGGUCUUGUAAACCAAAGACUGAGGACUAAAAAUCUUCUUAGAGCU